GGCAGCCAGGGUAGCUGAGACCUCAGUCCUGCCCUGGAGCAUAGGCAAACAUGGCCCUGCAAUGGAUGCUUCUCCUGCUCCUCACACCUCUGCAGGCAGCACAAAAUCGUGGAAAAUGUAAAAUUCCCUCUGACUGGGAUCCCAAACUGCGGUUUACUCCGAGGAAGAGCGACUAUGCCUUGAACGAAGUGGUGCAGCUCAGCUGUGUUGCGAAGAAUCCUGAGAAGUUUGCGCCAUCUGUCCCACAGAUUGAAUGCAUUUCCAGAGGGGCCCAGAUCCAGUGGAAUGAGACUCCCACCUGCAAGGAGCGAUGCCAGCAGCCCCAGUGGGACUCACAGCUCCAGUUUAGGCCAAACCAGACAUUUUACAUGGCCAGUGAAGAGGUGACACUGAGCUGCUUUGAGAAUGACGCUCCUCCCCUUGCUGUGAUCAGAUGUGCAAACUGGAGGAAUGCUUGGCAGGUGUUGGACAUUUCAGGAAAAUGGCACAGGCAGGCUCAGAAACUGAGUUGCA